UACGGAGGGGGCUAGCGUUGUUCGGAAUUACUGGGCGUAGAGCGCACGUAGGCGGAUCAGCAAGUUAGGGGUGAAAUCCCGGGGCUCAACCCCGGAACUGCCUUUAAAACUGUUGGUCUGGAGGUCGAGAGAGGUGAGUGGAAUUCCGAGUGUAGAGGUGAAAUUCGUAGAUAUUCGGAGGAACACCAGUGGCGAAGGCGGCUCACUGGCUCGAUACUGACGCUGAGGUGCGAAAGCGUGGGGAGCAAACAGG
rnacentral:rRNA from 1 species